rnacentral:rRNA from 1 species
UACGUAGGGUGCGAGCGUUAAUCGGAAUUACUGGGCGUAAAGCGUGCGCAGGCGGUUAUGUAAGACAGAGGUGAAAUCCCCGGGCUCAACCUGGGAACGGCCUUUGUGACUGCAUAGCUAGAGUACGGUAGAGGGGGAUGGAAUUCCGCGUGUAGCAGUGAAAUGCGUAGAUAUGCGGAGGAACACCGAUGGCGAAGGCAAUCCCCUGGACCUGUACUGACGCUCAUGCACGAAAGCGUGGGGAGCAAACAGG